rnacentral:rRNA from 1 species
GGGUCAGUAGGUUGGUCGUGCCACCGGUACGUACUGGUCUCACUGAUUCCUCCUUCCUGAAGAACCGUAAUACCAUUAAUUUGGUGUUGCGGGGAAACAGGACUGUUACUUUGAAAAAAUUAGAGUGUUUAAAGCAAGCUAAUGCUUGAAUACAUUAGCAUGGAAUAAUGAAAUAGGACGAUCGAUCCUAUUUUGUUGGUUUCUAGGAUUGACGUA